rnacentral:rRNA from 1 species
CUGGCGGCGUGCCUAAUACAUGCAAGUAGAACGCUGAAGAGAGGAGCUUGCUCUUCUUGGAUGAGUUGCGAACGGGUGAGUAACGCGUAGGUAACCUGCCUUGUAGCGGGGGAUAACUAUUGGAAACGAUAGCUAAUACCGCAUAACAAUGGAUGACACAUGUCAUUUAUUUGAAAGGGGCAAUUGCUCCACUACAAGAUGGACCUGCGUUGUAUUAGCUAGUAGGUGAGGUAACGGCUCACCUAGGCGACGAUACAUAGCCGACCUGAGAGGGUGAUCGGCCACACUGGGACUGAGACACGGCCCAGACUCCUACGGGAGGCAGCAGUAGGGAAUCUUCGGCAAUGGGGGCAACCCUGACCGAGCAACGCCGCGUGAGUGAAGAAGGUUUUCGGAUCGUAAAGCUCUGUUGUAAGUCAAGAACGAGUGUGAGAGUGGAAAGUUCACACUGUGACGGUAGCUUACCAGAAAGGGACGGCUAACUACGUGCCAGCAGCCGCGGUAAUACGUAGGUCCCGAGCGUUGUCCGGAUUUAUUGGGCGUAAAGCGAGCGCAGGCGGUUUGAUAAGUCUGAAGUUAAAGGCUGUGGCUCAACCAUAGUUCGCUUUGGAAACUGUCAAACUUGAGUGCAGAAGGGGAGAGUGGAAUUCCAUGUGUAGCGGUGAAAUGCGUAGAUAUAUGGAGGAACACCGGUGGCGAAAGCGGCUCUCUGGUCUGUAACUGACGCUGAGGCUCGAAAGCGUGGGGAGCGAACAGGAUUAGAUACCCUGGUAGUCCACGCCGUAAACGAUGAGUGCUAGGUGUUGGAUCCUUUCCGGGAUUCAGUGCCGCAGCUAACGCAUUAAGCACUCCGCCUGGGGAGUACGACCGCAAGGUUGAAACUCAAAGGAAUUGACGGGGGCCCGCACAAGCGGUGGAGCAUGUGGUUUAAUUCGAAGCAACGCGAAGAACCUUACCAGGUCUUGACAUCCCGAUGCUAUUUCUAGAGAUAGAAAGUUACUUCGGUACAUCGGUGACAGGUGGUGCAUGGUUGUCGUCAGCUCGUGUCGUGAGAUGUUGGGUUAAGUCCCGCAACGAGCGCAACCCCUAUUGUUAGUUGCCAUCAUUCAGUUGGGCACUCUAGCGAGACUGCCGGUAAUAAACCGGAGGAAGGUGGGGAUGACGUCAAAUCAUCAUGCCCCUUAUGACCUGGGCUACACACGUGCUACAAUGGUUGGUACAACGAGUUGCGAGUCGGUGACGGCAAGCUAAUCUCUUAAAGCCAAUCUCAGUUCGGAUUGUAGGCUGCAACUCGCCUACAUGAAGUCGGAAUCGCUAGUAAUCGCGGAUCAGCACGCCGCGGUGAAUACGUUCCCGGGCCUUGUACACACCGCCCGUCACACCACGAGAGUUUGUAACACCCGAAGUCGGUGAGGUAACCUUUUGGAGCCAGCCGCCUAAGGUGGGAUAGAUGAUUGGGGUGAAGUCGUAACAAGGUAGC